rnacentral:misc_RNA from 1 species
ACAAACUUGGUCAUUUAGAGGAAGUAAAAGUCGUAACAAGGUUUCCGUAGGUGAACCUGCGGAAGGAUCAUUACAGAGUAAAGCUGGCCGCUCCACCGCAUGCCCGCGAGGGCUGUGGGGGGGAAGGUCGCGUUACCCGUCCUCAUGUCAUGUGUUCUGACGGGGCUGGGCGAGCAGCCUGGCCCCCGACUGUGGUUCCCAGGAAGGAGUUGCGCGAGAGUGCGACCGCCUGGGGGUUUUUUUUACACAAACUCUUUUUUGCCAACAUGAAAAGAUGAAGUCUGAAAAAUUAUAAACCAAAAAAAAGCAAAACUUUCAACAACGGAUCUCUUGGCUCUGGCAUCGAUGAAGAACGCAGC